UACAGAGGUCUCGAGCGUUAGGCGGAAUCACUGGGCUUAAAGCGUGUGUAGGCGGAUCGUUAAGUGCCUUGUGAAAUCCCACGGCUCAACCGUGGAACUGCUUGGCAUACUGGCGGUCUUGAGCAACCUAGGGGCGAGCGGAACAAAUGGUGGAGCGGUGAAAUGCGUAGAUAUCAGGAAGAACACCCGUGGCGAAGGCGGCUCUCUGGGACGGUACUGACGCUGAGACGCGAAAGCGUGGGGAGCGAACAGG
rnacentral:rRNA from 1 species